CAUUUGCUACGGUGGAGAGUUUUGGAUUUGAUUUGCGUCAGCUGGAUUUGAUUUCCGACAGUUGGGUGAUCGGGUAGCCGAAACAGAGAUCCGACAACUGUAUAUUUAACAGCUGAUCGCAGUCACUACUAUUCCAUAAACCAUAUUCCAAAAUCAUCCAUUCUUCUGUCAGUAACGGAUCUCCUCCUUCAACAGAGUUACUCCACCACGUUCAAAGGAUGACUACAGUUACAACCUGAUCAGAUAGAAUAUGUCCUGGACCAAAACCGUCCUCCAGGAGAGCUCAUAGUGAAAGAGGAUGAUAUCUGCUCAACCUGUGAAGACUUUAGGAUCCUGAAUAUGACACAAUGGAUGGAAUACACAGAGAAAAAUGUCUACAUUGAUGACCUCUACUGCCUUUAUGACCACCUGGAAGGAUCUCAAAGAUGACCUACUGCGCUCCUUGCUGGAAACCUUCAGGUCAGAGGUCAUGCUGAUGUUUCCACUUAGAGCAGACAGACAGGUCCAGCUGAUCUCUACCUGCUUUGUUACCAGGAGAAUGGCAUCUUUGACCUUCAGCUCUUUUCUCAGCAGAUGUCAGACAGCUGCUGCAGCAUUUCAUGCUGAUCUCUCUGCAUCAGCACCUGCUCUGAAAUGAGAUUCAGUGAAGAAAGUUUCCUCAGAAAAACACCAGUUUCAGUCUUCAGAUUCUAUUUUCUGGUCCUUAAAGCUGUUUAGACUUCAUCACAUCAGUCUCAUCCACAAUCACCGCUCUAGUUCAGACUCAUGUCGGCUGGUUUUGCUUGUGACUGUCCACAAAACCUGCGAUGAACUUCUGAGAGGUGUUUAUGCUUUUCUAGUGAUGGGAUCGUCUCCAGCGUUUAUUUUUAACCUGAAGAACAUCUUCCUCACAGUCUUACUGCGUUUGUGAACAUGCAGACACAUGAAAGGUGGAGGAGGACGUGAUGCGCUCCUCCACUAGCAGGAUAUAAAAUACAUGAAAUAUCUUUCCAGUAACUUGUUUUUCUAUCUAGUUGUCCGCUCUCUCGGCUUCUCUGUGUCUGAAGGUCUGAAUUUCUAAACUACUGUCUGGUAGUUUCUAAACAUUCCAAAUCUCCAUUAAUGCUGAUGCUGGCAGGUGUUUUAUUGUGGAGGUCAGUGAUUUAUUCUUCAUUUUCUUUAAGGUGUUGCUGUAACUGAAUCAGUCAUUGCUAUCAUACAAAACUCCAUCAGAGCAGAAGGAGUGAAGUCAUUGUUUCCUUAAUCUUUAGGAUUUUCAUGAGAACCAAACAGUCUGGAGUCUUUUCUCAUCUCUGAAUCAUUUUCAUGUUUCACAGGAAGUGUCGACAACAGGAAGAGAGGAGCAGUGACGACAUUGGAUUCAGAGGAGACCCCCCCCACUACUGCUGUCACUUUUGCCUGAAUAAACUGUUAAUAAUUUAUUUCCUGCAUUUUUAUUGAACAUUUCAUAAUCCACUGUAACAUAACUCUAGCAGAUGAUUAUGACAUAACAUGACCAAAAACAGGAACCAAAGAUAUGAUCCAAGGAAACUAACAGCUCAGUCACUUUUGUCUCCUCCCUUCAGAGGUCGCCUCAGCCAAUCACCAUCAGCGCUUCACACAGGUGGUUUUUACACCUGUGUUAUACUGACAUGGAACACCAGAUGUUCUAAAGUUUAUUCAUUUGAACUACUAAAAAUGUUUAGUUCAACAUGAAAUUAGCAAAAAAGAAAACAAAGAAAAACUACAGAGCCUUCUAUUAAUCACAAACUUAAAAGAAUGGAGAGAAAAAAGUUUCACCAAUUGUUCAAAUCAUUAUUUAUGAAUAUGUUUCAGUCUUUGAAAGGCUUGAAAUUCUCAGUUAUUAGAUUAAUUAUAUGUUUUAAUUCCACAGAGGAAAUGGUCAAAUGUUUGUCAUUUGUAUAUUUACAUUUAUCAAUACAAUAUUUGGCCAAAAUAA